CGAGAACGCUGGGACCUGCUGCAGCUAUGCUUAGCCGCUGAUGACCAAAGAUAUUUUACAAACUAGAGUUUCUGAUG
rnacentral:snRNA from 1 species